UAGACCUGCUGGUGCUGCACCAC
rnacentral:piRNA from 1 species